CAGCAGCCGCGGUAAUACGUAGGUCCCGAGCGUUGUCCGGAUUUAUUGGGCGUAAAGGGAGCGCAGGCGGUUUAGUAAGUCUGAAGUUAAAGGCAUUGGCUCAACCAAUGUAUGCUUUGGAAACUGUUAGACUUGAGUGCAGAAGGGGAGAGUGGAAUUCCAUGUGUAGCGGUGAAAUGCGUAGAUAUAUGGAGGAACACCGGUGGCGAAAGCGGCUCUUUGGCUUGUAACUGACGCUGAGGCUAGAAAGCGUGGGGAGCAAACAGGAUUAGAUACCCCGGUAGUCCCUGUCUCUUAUACA
rnacentral:rRNA from 1 species